rnacentral:rRNA from 1 species
UACGAAGGGGGCUAGCGUUGCUCGGAAUCACUGGGCGUAAAGGGUGCGUAGGCGGGUCUUUAAGUCAGGGGUGAGAUCCUGGAGCUCAACUCCAGAACUGCCUUUGAUACUGAAGAUCUUGAGUUCGGGAGAGGUGAGUGGAACUGCGAGUGUAGAGGUGAAAUUCGUAGAUAUUCGCAAGAACACCGGUGGCGAAGGCGGCCAUCUGGACCGCAACUGACGCUGAGGCGCGAAAGCGUGGGGAGCAAACAGG